rnacentral:rRNA from 1 species
UACGGAGGGUGCGAGCGUUGUCCGGAAUCACUGGGCGUAAAGGGCGCGUAGGCGGCGCGGAAAGUCAACGGUGAAAGCUCGGGCUCAACCCCGAGUCGGCCGUCGAUACUUCUGUGCUUGAGCACUGUAGAGGCAGGUGGAAUUCCGGGUGUAGCGGUGGAAUGCGUAGAUAUCGGGAGGAACACCUGUGGCGAAGGCGGCCCCCUGGUCGGAUACUGACGCUGAGACGCGAAAGCGUGGGGAGCAAAACAGG